AGUUAGGGACGACUUUUAAAGGAGACAAUUUCAAUAACAUCUUUAUAAGUCGCAUGAGACAGUUCACAGUUCUCCCGAUUCGCAUAUGACAAAAGCAGCAGUAAAAAAUCUGUAGGAAGCUUAAAUCAGAAUACUCUCCUUUCCAUCCUCUCCCUGCCACUCUCGACGCCGCCGAGAGUCUCCGUCGCCGACACGAGCUCCGGCCGUCCUCCUCCAUUCCUCACUCACUAUCAAUUUUCACAGUCUCAUCAAAACCCCUUCUACAUGUUCAAUGUUAAAUAUUGCACUCUACGGAAUUUUAGAGGUAGCAGAUGUAAAAGGACAUGAGUGUACAAAUCAUUUUAGCAUCGGAGGAUACGAGUUUUAUCUUAUAAUUUCUUUGUAAAGGAUGUAUAUUUGCUUUGUAGGGUACUCUUUUUCCCCCUUGA